rnacentral:rRNA from 1 species
GCAGCAGGCGCGAAAACUUUACACUGCGGGAAACCGCGAUAAGGGGACCCCGAGUGCCAGCACCUAGUGCUGGCUGUCCUACUGUCUAAAUAACAGUGGUUAGCAAGGGCCGGGCAAGACCGGUGCCAGCCGCCGCGGUAACACCGGCGGCUCGAGUGGUAACCGUUUUUAUUGGGUUUAAAGGGUCCGUAGCCGGCUUAUUAAGUCUCUUGGGAAAUCUGGCGGCUCAAUCGUCAGGCGGCCAAGAGAUACUGGUAGGCUUGGGACCGGGAGAGGUGGGAGGUACUCCAGGGGUAGGGGUGAAAUCUCGUAAUCCUUGGGGGACCACCGAUGGCGAAGGCAUCCCACCAGAACGGGUCCGACGGUGAGGGACGAAAGCUGGGGGCACGAACCGGAUUAGAUACCCGGGUAGUCCCAGCUGUAAACGAUGCUCGCUAGGUGUCAGGUGCGGUGCGACCGCAUCUGGUGCCGCAGUGAAAACUUGAAGCGAGUCACCUGGGAAGUACGGUCGCAAGGCUGAAACUUAAAGGAAUUGGCGGGGGAGCACUACAACGGGUGGAGCCUGCGGUUCAAUUGGACUCAACGCCGGAAA